GUGCUGUAUCUAUAAAGAUUACACCAAAAUUGAAAAAACACCUAGGACAAAAGUCGUAUUACCAAUUGCCACCCCAUGCGUUAUUAUCCAAAUAAACCCCCACAAUGCAAAUUACACCAAAAUAAUAAUAUAAAAAAACAACUAGGACAAAAGUAACAACAUCAUAUGCAUGCUUAAUAAGCUAACUCACAUCCCCCCUUUCUGAUGAUAUUCCUUUACAUUAGAGCCCUCAAGAUUUCAUCUAUAUAUCAGCGCUACAUAGCAAUUCCUCCGAAGCAUCUAAAAAACCUUCCAGCCUUGAACCCCAUACACAAUAACAUAUUCUUGAUUCACUUUCGAAUCCUUCUGCCAACUAUUUGCGUUUGAUGCAAUUUUUCGGUUCAACAACAAUUGAAACAAACCCAAAACCUGGUGCCCACAAAUAGUUUGAAUCAAAUCCCCUAUCAAUCUGAAUAUUGCAAUGCUAGGAAAAACUCCACACUUUAACAAUACAAUGACUCUCUUGGAAACUUUCCAUGACCCCCCUCCAAGAAAAGAACCAC
rnacentral:lncRNA from 1 species